rnacentral:rRNA from 1 species
UGGGGAAUAUUGGACAAUGGGGGAAACCCUGAUGCAGCGACGCCGCGUGAACGAUGAAGCCCUUCGGGGUGUAAAGUUCUUUCGGCAGGAACGAUAAUGACGGUACCUGAAGAAGAAGCUGCGGCUAACUACGUGCCAGCAGCCGCGGUAAUACGUAGGCAGCAAACGUUGUUCGGAGUUACUGGGCGUAAAGAGUACGUAGGCGGUUUGCCAAGUUUGGUGUGAAAUCUCCUGGCUUAACUGGGAGGGUGCGCCGAAUACUGGCAGACUUGAGUAUUGGAGAGGAAAGCGGAAUUCCUGGUGUAGCGGUGAAAUGCGUAGAUAUCAGGAGGAACACCGGUGGUGUAGACGGCUUUCUGGACAAUCACUGACGCUGAGGUACGAAAGCGUGGGUAGCAAACAGGAUUAGAUACCCGAGUAGUCCCUGAGCGGGCUGGCAAGGCGCAU